UACGUAGGUGGCAAGCGUUGUCCGGAAUUAUUGGGCGUAAAGCGCGCGCAGGUGGUUCUUUAAGUCUGAUGUGAAAGCCCACGGCUCAACCGUGGAGGGUCAUUGGAAACUGGGGAACUUGAGUGCAGAAGAGGAAAGUGGAAUUCCACGUGGAGCGGUGAAAUGCGUAGAUAUCGCUUGGAACGCCAAAGGUGAAAACAGGUUGCUGGGGUUGUGCCGACGCUGAGACACGAAAGCCAGGGGAGCAAACGGG
rnacentral:rRNA from 1 species